rnacentral:lncRNA from 1 species
UUAUGACUUUGAACAUUGAUUGAGAAUAAUCGUGGUUUUCGUUUGCUUUUAUGAAAAUGGUUUUCUACCUCUCGUGGUAACUGAUUUUUUGAAGGAAAAGGUUUCCGUGUGGAAAACGGUUUUAAAAAAAAAAAUAUUUUUCGCUUUUCAUGAUUCUAGUAUUUCAAAAUGAAUUUCCGGGUAGAAAACGUUUUAAAUAAUAGAUGUGAUUGAUUGAAUGUUAAUCGUGAUGUUGUGAUGCGGUGAAUGUAUAUAUAGUUAAUGAAUGUUUGUGGUUGUAUCUUGUACUUGCACGACAUCGAGCAAAUAUAGGGGAGACUCUGUCUAUGUGAACAGUGGAUUUUCUAUAUUUGAGGCGGAUUUAGCACCUCUGGAGUCAA